rnacentral:rRNA from 1 species
AGUGAACGCUGGCGGUAGGCCUAACACAUGCAAGUCGAACGGCAGCACAGUAAGAGCUUGCUCUUACGGGUGGCGAGUGGCGGACGGGUGAGGAAUACAUCGGAAUCUACUUUUUCGUGGGGGAUAACGUAGGGAAACUUACGCUAAUACCGCAUACGACCUACGGGUGAAAGCAGGGGAUCUUCGGACCUUGCGCGAUUGAAUGAGCCGAUGUCGGAUUAGCUAGUUGGCGGGGUAAAGGCCCACCAAGGCGACGAUCCGUAGCUGGUCUGAGAGGAUGGUCAGCCACACUUGAACUUAAACACGGUCCAGGCUCCUGAGGGAGGCAGCAGUUGGGAAUAUUGGGCAAUGGGGGGAAACCUUGUCCAGCCAUACCGCGUGGGGUGAAGAAGCCUUCGGGUUGUAAAGCCCUUUUGUUGGGAAAGAAAAGCAGGAGGUUAAUACCCCGCUGUUCUGACGGUACCCAAAGAAUAAGCACCGGCUAACUUCGUG